AUUGAACGCUGGCGGCAGGCCUAACACAUGCAAGUCGAACGAGUGGCGGACGGGUGAGUAAUGUCUGGGAACCGGCCUGUUGGAGGGGGAUAACUAUUGGAAACGGUAGCUAAUACCGAAAACCAUCGGAUGUGCCAAGAUGGGAUUAGCUGGUUGGUGGGGUAACGGCCCACCAAGGCGACGAUCCCUGGCUGGUCUGAGAGGAUGACCAGCCACACUGGAACUGAGACACGGUCCAGGCUCCUACGGGAGGCAGCAGUGGGGAAUAUUGCACAAUGGGCGCAAGCCUGAUGCAGCCAUGCCGCGUGUAUGAAGAAGGCCUUCGGGUUGUAAAGUACUUUCAGCGGGGAGGCGUUACCCGCAGAAGAAGCACCGGCUAACUCCGUGCCAGCAGCCGCGGUAAUAC
rnacentral:rRNA from 1 species